UAAAACCGAGCUUGUUUUCGUGCCUGGC
rnacentral:piRNA from 1 species